GUAGAUGUGAUCAUGUAGGCAGGGAUACUGGAGUAUUUUAGGUAGAUGUGACCAUGUAGGCAGGGAUACUGGAGUAUUUUAGGUAGAUGUGACCAUGGAGGCAGGGAUACUAGAGUAUUUUAGGUAGAGAUGUGACCAUGCAGGCAGGGAUACUGGAGUAUUUUAGGUAGAGAUGUGUACAUGCAGGCAGGGAUACUGGAGUAUUUUAGGUAGAGAUGUGUACAUGCAGGCAGGGAUACUGGAGUAUUUUAGGUAGAGAUGUGUACAUGCAGGCAGGUAUUAGGAGAAAGCGAUGCGUAACAGGACAAAUAUUAAUAAUACGUGUGGGAACUUUGAAGAAUCUUUAAUAUUAAAUUAAAUAUAAAACACUUUGUUGGUUAUUACCUGAUUCAAUAUCUG
ensembl:lncRNA